rnacentral:hammerhead_ribozyme from 1 species
AUCCAUCUGACAAGUCCUAAAUAGGACGAAACGCGCGUCCUCGAU